rnacentral:lncRNA from 1 species
UAAAAGUUUAAUACAAUAAGUAUUCCAAAAGCUAUUACAUCAAAUGAGUGGCUUUGUGGGCAUACUUCCAACAAAAGUUUCGUAGGAUGCAUAUUGCGUCAAAAUGGUAGAUUAAACAAACACUUAGAUUUAAUAUUAUACUUCCAUUAAGUAUAAUCCACUAGUGUAAAUAUUUUAAAUUGAAGAUCAAAUUUAUUCAUUGCAUUCUUAUAGGGUCUAGUAGUGUUUCUGUAAAAAAUCAUUAAAAUCAAAGCUAAAAUAACCAUUAAAUUGUGAUUUUUCGUUUAUAAGUGUCGAAAACUUUUGUUUUGUUACGUAAUCUAAGAAUGUUUGUUUUUUAUGAUUUUUUUACGUAUGCAAUCUCGAAGUGUGUACAAAUAAAUUUGACGGUUGUAUCGUUGAAAAAAGUUUCAUAGAAUGUAUAUCGCAUCAAAACGGUUGAUUAAACAAACAUUUAGAGUUAAUAUUAUACUUCCAUUAAGUAUAAAAUAAGAUUUGGUGGUAUUGACACACCCCGUCCCGAAAGAGGGCAUGCUGGCCGUCACGUGAGAGUGACGUAACCAUUUACACAGUUCGGAAGCUUUAAAGAUACAAUUACUAAGAUGUAACACCCGAGGGUGAGUCCUACUUUUGUGAAUUCUGUCAGAACAUCGUGGGAAUCCU